rnacentral:rRNA from 1 species
GAUGAACGCUGGCGGCGUGCUUAACACAUGCAAGUCGAACGGAAAGGUUCCUGCUUGCAGGGGUACUCGAGUGGCGAACGGGGGAGUAACACGUGGGUGCUCUGUCCUGCACUUCAGGAUAAGCAUGGGAAACUGGAUCUAAUACCGGAUAAGAUGUUUGUUUGGAUGCCAUUGCGGAAAGUAUUUUCGGUGUGGGUUGAGCUCGAGGCUUAUCAGCUUGUUGGUGGGGUAAUGGCCAAACAAGGCAUCGACCGGUAGCCGACCUGAGAGGGUGUACGGCGACAUUACAACGGGGGUACGGCCCAGACUCCAACGGGAGGCAGCAGUGGGGAAGGUAACAGUAUAGGCGCAAGCAGAGUGCAGCGACGCCACGUGGGGGAUGACAGCAGGCGGGUAGUGAACUACUGUCGCUAUACACGAAGUGAAAGUGACGGUACCUGGAGAAGAAGCACCGGCUAACUACGUG